GUGCAGAAUGGAGCACCUGGCGCACGGCUCAGUAACACGUAGUGAACCUGCCCUAUGGACGAGGACAACCACGGGAAACUGUGGAUAAUCCACGAUAGGAAAUUCGGCCUGGAACGGUGUCUUUCCAAAAACCGGCUCGCCGUGAGAUACGGGCCCUAGGAUGGCGCUGCGGCCGAUUAUGCUAGAUGGCGGUGUAAAGGACCACCAUGGCGACGAUCGGUAUGGGCAAUGGAAGUUGGAGCCCAGAGUCGGCUACUGAGACAAGGAGCCGAGCUUUACGAAGCUUAGCGGUCGCGAAACCUCGCCAAUGCACGAAUGUGUGAGUGGGCUACUCCAAGUGCCAUUCUUACGGAUGGCUGUCGCCCAGUGUACAAAGCUGGGAAAGGAAGAAGAGGGCAAGGCUGGUGCCAGCCGCCGCGGUAAAACCAGCUCUUCGAGUGGUCAGGACGUAUAUUGGGUCUAAAGCGCUCGUAGCCGGGCAAGUAGGUUCUUGGUUAAACCCGUGGGCAUAACUCACGGACC
rnacentral:rRNA from 1 species